AAUCUUCGGCAAUGGGCGAAAAGCCUGACCGAGCGACGCCGCGUGAGGGAAGAAGGCCUUCGGGUCGUAAACCUCUGUCCUUGGGGAAGAAGGUGACGGUACCCAAGGAGGAAGCUCCGGCGAACUACGUUCCAGCAGCCGCGGUAAUACGUAGGGAGCGAGCGUUGUCCGGAAUUACUGGACGUAAAGGGUGCGUAGGCGGCCAUUUAAGUCUCGUGUGAAAGGCCCCGGCUUAACCGGGGAGCUGCAUGGGAAACUGGGUGGCUUGAGUACUGGAGAGGGUUGCGGAAUUCCCAGUGUAGCGGUGAAAUGCGUAGAUAUUGGGAGGAACACCAGUGGCGAAGGCGGCAACCUGGACAGUGACUGACGCUGAGGCACGACAGCUGGGGGAGCAAAC
rnacentral:rRNA from 1 species